rnacentral:rRNA from 1 species
UGUGAUGGGGAGCGAAAUUUAGUAGCGAAGUAGCUGAUUUCACACUGUCAAGAAAAGUCUCUAUCGAGGUUAAAGGUACCCGUACCGCAAACCGACACAGGUGGGUGAGGAGAGUAUCCUAAGGCCAGCGAGAGAACUGUUGUUAAGGAACUCGGCAAAAUGACCCCGUAACUUAGAGAUAAGGGGUGCCACCAUCAGGUGGCCGCAGAGAAUAGGCCCAAGCGACUGUUUACCAAAAACAUAGGUUUCUGCUAAGUCGCAAGACGAUGUAUAGGAGCUGACGCCUGCCCGGUGCUGGAAGGUUAA